rnacentral:lncRNA from 10 species
UUGGAUUCAAUGGGAAAGUGGCUUUAAAAAUCCUUCAAGUGCUUACUCUCAAUUCCCGUACUUAUCUUUCUGUGAAUUUAUACCAAUGGCCGGCCACCAGUCUGCAGACCAUACUCUAUGAGUAUCUGACUUAAAGGACUUCCAUGAAGAGUUAGUUACUCCUCAGAUGGAAAUGAUACACAUUCCCGUUUGCUCUUAGCUUGUGGAGAAGUUCUCAGAUUUCUAUAGAUUUUCCUUUACAAACAUUGACCUGAUGUUUGUGAGGCUACCUGGAGAAUCUCUAUCCAUCAGCAGAGGGUAUUAGAAAAGUGGUCUGAAAAAAAAAAAUCAACAACAACAAAUAAAACCAUAAAACACAGCCUUUACAGUUAAUCCUGUGCUGGGCUCAAGGU